GACGUCAGCGCCGCCGCGGUGAUUUAACAGCUUUUGUUUUGGGCAGAAGAACCUAUGGGCACAAAAAGCAGGAACGAGUAGCGGUGGCUGAAGAACGAGCAGGAGCUUGAAUUUCAGUUUUCUUAUGAGGAAUUUUCCAGAAAAGAUAUCUUCACUGUGAAAUAACUAAAUAAAUGCCCACUCAGUACAGUCACUGUCUCCCUUUUGGAACUUGAUGGCACCUUAAGCCCAGGUUUGCCUCCACUCUAGAAACUCAUCAGAGUGAUGCCCUUCUCAAAUGGGGGAGGUCCCAAAGCGGAUAUCCUGGCAGUGUGAAAGGCCGGCUAAAGACAAAAAUACCUGCUACAUGCUUCCUUCUGUAUGAAUACAUGAGACCUACCUUCAUUCAUGUUUCCUCUAUGAAGCUUUCCCUGCACUCCAAACACAGAGCUGAGACUUCCACCUAAUGUAGAAAGCUAGCACGAGCCGGCGCUGACAGAUGGAAGACUUGAGAUGUUACAAGAUUAUAUAUGGAAACACAAAAGGAGUGGAGUUGCUGGGUCAUAUGGCAAUUCAUUUGAGGAACUGAGAAGCUUAUUCCAUGGAGGCUGAACUGUUUUAUAUUCCCACCAGCAACGUGUAAGGUUCCAGUUUAUCUACAUCAUCACCAACACUUGCUAUUUUCCAUUUCAUUAAUGAUAGCCAUCCUAGUGGAUUUGAAGUGGUACCUUAUUAUCGUGGUUUUGAUUGCAUUCUCUAUUGACUAAUGAUAUCGAGCAUCUUUUCAUGUAUUUUUUGGUCAUUUGGUCAUUUUUCUUUUUUAAUUUUAAAAUUUUGAGACAGGCUCUCACUAUGUUGCCCAGGUGGUCUCAAACUCCUGGGUUCCAGCGAUGCUCAUGCCUCAGUCUCCCAAAGGGGUGGGAUUACAGGUGUGAGCCACUUUGCCCAGCCCAUUUGUAUAUCUCCUUUGGAGAAUAUCUAGGUUCUUUUGAAGGUAGCUGCAUAUAAACUAGCCAAAUUAACAGACUGUGGUUUUUAGAUGGCUUUCCAUAUCUACAAGAACUAUUUAGUUCUCAAAACUGGGAAGAAAUGUUUCAGAGGCAUCAUUAAUUCAUAAUCUAAAAAUUUAUCUUGGGUUUCCUUUUUUCCCCCAGAUUCUGUAUCCUCCAUAGUCCUAUUCAUGACAUGGGUCGUUCAUCUCUGUAUUCUAAACCCUCAAUGAACUGUAGACAGUAAUAAAUAUUUAUUGGAUGAA
rnacentral:lncRNA from 1 species